rnacentral:rRNA from 1 species
UGCCGCGUGUGUGAAGAAGGCCCUCGGGUUGUAAAGCACUUUCAGUGGGGAAGAAAGCCUUGGGAUUAAUACUCCCGAGGAAGGACAUCACCCACAGAAGAAGCACCGGCUAACUCCGUGCCAGCAGCCGCGGUAAUACGGAGGGUGCGAGCGUUAAUCGGAAUUACUGGGCGUAAAGCGCGCGUAGGCGGUCUGAUAAGCCGGUUGUGAAAGCCCCGGGCUCAACCUGGGAACGGCAUCCGGAACUGUCAGGCUAGAGUGCAGGAGAGGAAGGUAGAAUUCCCGGUGUAGCGGUGAAAUGCGUAGAGAUCGGGAGGAAUACCAGUGGCGAAGGCGGCCUUCUGGACUGACACUGACGCUGAGGUGCGAAAGCGUGGGUAGCAAACAGGAUUAGAUACCCUGGUAGUCCACGCCGUAAACGAUGUCGACUAGCCGUUGGGGUCCUUGAGACCUUUGUGGCGCAGUUAACGCGAUAAGUCGACCGCCUGGGGAGUACGGCCGCAAGGUUAAAACUCAAAUGAAUUGACGGGGGCCCGCACAAGCGGUGGAGCAUGUGGUUUAAUUCGAUGCAACGCGAAGAACCUUACCUACCCUUGACAUCGAGAGAACUUGGCAGAGAUGCCUUGGUGCCUUCGGGAACUCUC